rnacentral:rRNA from 1 species
AUACAGAGGGUGCGAGCGUUAAUCGGAAUUACUGGGCGUAAAGCGCGCGUAGGCGGUUUGGUCAGUCGGAUGUGAAAGCCCCGGGCUUAACCUGGGAAUUGCAUUCGAUACUGCCAGACUGGAAUGUAGUAGAGGGAAGUGGAAUUCAGGGUGUAGCGGUGAAAUGCGUAGAGAUCCUGAGGAACAUCAGUGGCGAAGGCGACUUCCUGGACUAACAUUGACGCUGAGGUGCGAAAGCGUGGGGAGCAAACAGGAUUAGAAACCCCGGUAGUCC